GGAAUGGGAUAUACAUCACAUAUCCUGGAUCAAGUAAAGACUUUGGGUUUCCAUCAAGCCACUGCUACAUCUAUUUCAUUAGGAAUUGAUGAUCUUUUAACAAUACCUUCUAAGGGAUGGUUAGUCCAAGACGCUGAACAACAAAGUUUUAUUUUGGAGAAACACCAUCAUUAUGGGAAUGUACACGCGGUAGAAAAAUUACGUCAAUCUAUUGAGAUAUGGUAUGCUACAAGUGAAUAUUUGAGACAAGAAAUGAAUCCUAAUUUUCGGAUGACUGAUCCCUCUAAUCCAGUCUAUCUAAUGUCUUUUUCAGGAGCAAGGGGAAAUGCAUCUCAGAUACACCAAUUAGUAGGUAUGAGAGGAUUAAUGUCAGAUCCCCAAGGACAAAUGAUUGAUUUACCCAUUCAAAGCAAUUUACGCGAGGGACUUUCUUUGACAGAAUAUAUAAUUUCCUGCUACGGAGCCCGCAAAGGAGUUGUAGAUACUGCUGUACGAACAUCAGAUGCUGGAUAUCUUACACGUAGACUUGUUGAAGUAGUUCAACACAUUAUUGUACGUAGAAGAGAUUGUGGUACUAUCCGAGGUAUUUCCGUGAGUCCUCAAAAUGGGAUGACGGAAAAGAUUUUUGUCCAAACACUAAUUGGUCGUGUAUUAGCAGACGAUAUAUAUAUCGGUCUACGAUGCAUUGCCACUCGAAAUCAAGAUAUUGGGAUUGGACUUGUCAAUCGAUUCAUAACCUUUCGAGCACAACCAAUAUAUAUUCGAACCCCCUUUACUUGCAGGAGUACAUCUUGGAUCUGUCAAUUAUGUUAUGGUCGGAGUCCCACUCAUGGCGAUCUGGUCGAAUUGGGAGAAGCCGUAGGUAUUAUUGCGGGUCAAUCAAUUGGGGAACCGGGGACUCAACUAACAUUAAGAACUUUUCAUACCGGCGGAGUAUUCACAGGCGGUACUGCAGAACAUGUACGAGCUCCUUCUAAUGGAAAAAUAAAAUUCAAUGAGGAUUUGGUUCAUCCCACACGUACCCGUCAUGGGCAUCCCGCUUUUCUAUGUUCUAUAGACUUGUAUGUAACUAUUGAGAGUCGGGAUAUUAUACAUAAUGUGACUAUUCCGCCAAAAAGUUUGAUUUUAGUUCAAAAUGAUCAAUAUGUAGAAUCAGAACAAGUGAUUGCUGAGAUUCGUGCUGGAACGUCUACUUUUCAUUUUAAAGAGAGGGUACGAAAACAUAUUUAUUCUGAAUCAGAGGGAGAAAUGCACUGGAGUACCGAUGUCUACCAUGCACCUGAAUAUACAUAUGGUAAUGUUCAUCUAUUACCAAAAACAAGUCAUUUAUGGAUAUUAGCAGGAGGUCCGUGCAGAUCCAGUAUAGUGUCUUUUUCGCUCCACAAGGAUCAAGAUCAAAUGAAUGUUUAUUCUCUUUCUGUUGAAGGAAGAUAUAUCUCUAACCCCUCAAUGACUAAUGAUCAAGUAAGACAUAAAUUGUUGGAUACUUCUGGUAAAAAAGAUAGGAAAAUUCUUGACUAUUCAAGACUUGAUCGAAUCAUAUCCAAUGGUCAUUGGAAUUUCAUAUAUCCUUCUAUUCUCCAAGAGAAUCCUGAUUUCUUGGCGAAAAAGCGAAGAAAUAGAUUCAUCAUCCCAUUACAAUAUGAUCAAGAACGAGAGAAAGAACUAAUACCCUGUUUUGGUAUUUCGAUUGAAAUACCCAUAAAUGGUAUUUUACGUAGAAAUAGUAUUCUUGCUUAUUUUGAUGAUCCACGAUACAGAAGAAGCAGUUCCGGAAUUACUAAAUAUGGGACCAUAGAGGUGGAUUCAAUCAUAAAAAAAGAAGAUUUGAUUGAGUAUCGAGGAGCAAAAGAAUUUAGUCCGAAAUACCAAACGGAAGUAGAUCAGUUUUUUUUCAUUCUCGAAGAAGUGCAUAUCUUACCGGGAUCCUCAUUAAUAAUGGUCCGGAACAAUAGUAUCAUUGGAGUAGAUACACGACUCGCUUUAAAUAUAAAUACAAGAAGCCGAGUACGCGGAUUAGUCCGAGUGGAGAGAAAAAAAAAAUAUAUUGAACUUAAAAUCUUUUCUGGAGAUAUUCAUUUUCCUGGAGAGACAGAUAAGAUAUCCAGGCACAGCGGCAUUUUUAUACCACCAGAAACGGAAAAAAAAAAUUCUAAAGAAUCAAAAAAAUGGAAAAAUUGGAUCUAUGUUCAACGGAUCACACCUACCAAGAAAAAGUAUUUUGUUUCGGUUCGACCCGUAGUCACAUAUGAAAUAUCCGAUGGGAUAAAUUUAGCAACACUUUUCCCUCGGGAUAUCUUGCAGGAAAAGGAUAAUGUCCAACUUAGAGUUGUCAAUUAUAUCCUUUAUGGAAAUGGCAAGUCAAUUCGAGGAAUUUAUCACACAAGUAUUCAAUUAGUUCGGACUUGCUUAGUAUUGAAUUGGGACCAAGAACAAAAUGGUUUUAUAGAAGAGGUUCAUGCUUCCUUUGUUGAGGUAAGGGCAAAUGAUCUAAUUCGCGAUUUCAUAAGAAUUGAGUUAGUCAAGUCCACUAUUUCGUAUACCGGAAAAAGGUAUGAUAGGGCAAGUUCCGGAUUGAUUCCCGAUAAUGGAUUAGAUCGCACCAAUAUCAAUCCCUUUUAUUCCAAGGCGAAGAUUCAAUCACUUAGCCAACAUCAAGGAACUAUUGGUACGUUGUUGAAUCGAAAUAAGGAAUGCCAAUCUUUGAUAAUUUUGUCAUCAUCCAAUUGUUCUCGAAUUGGUCCAUUCAAUAGUUCGAAAUAUAACAAUUUGACAAAAGAAUCGGAUCCCCUAAUUCCAAUUAGGGAUUCUUUAGGUCUCUUAGGCGCUAUUGUACCUAAAAUAGCGAAUUUUUAUUCAUCUUACCAUUUAAUAACUCAUAAUCAGAUCGUGUUAAAGAAAUAUUUGCUACUUGACAAUUUGAAACAGAUUUUCCAAGUACUUCAAGUACUUAAAUACUGUUUAAUAGAUGAAAAUAGGAGGAUUUAUAAUCCCGAUCCAUGCAGUAACAUCAUUUUGAACCCAUUCCAUUUGAAUUGGUGCUUUUUCCAUCAUGAUUAUUGUGAAGAGACAUCGACCAAAAUUAGCCUUGGACAAUUUAUUUGUGAAAAUGUAUGUCUAUUUAAAUACGAACCACACGUAAAAAAAUCUGGUCAAAUUUUAAUUGUUAAUGUCGACUCUUUAGUUAUAAGAUCAGCUAAGCCUUAUUUGGCUACUCCUGGAGCAACUGUUCAUGGUCAUUAUGGGAAAAUCCUUUACGAAGGAGAUACAUUAGUUACAUUUAUAUAUGAAAAAUCGAGAUCUGGUGACAUAACGCAAGGUCUUCCAAAAGUAGAACAAAUCUUAGAAGUGCGUUCGAUUGAUUCACUAUCGAUGAACCUCGAAAGGAGAGUUGAAGGUUGGAACGAACGCAUACCAAGAAUUCUUGGGAUCCCCUGGGGGUUUUUGAUUGGAGCUGAGCUAACCAUAGCCCAAAGUUGUAUCUCUUUGGUUAAUAAGAUCCAAAAGGUUUAUCGAUCCCAGGGGGUACAGAUCCAUAAUAGACAUAUAGAGAUUAUUGUACGUCAAGUAACAUCAAAAGUGUUGGUUUCAGAAGAUGGAAUGUCUAAUGUUUUUUCGCCUGGAGAAUUAAUCGGAUUGUUGCGAGCGGAACGAGCAGGGCGUGCUUUGGACGAAUCGAUCUGUUAUCGGGCAAUCUUAUUGGGAAUAACAAGAGCGUCUCUGAAUACUCAAAGUUUCAUAUCCGAAGCAAGUUUUCAAGAAACCGCUCGAGUUUUAGCAAAAGCUGCUCUACGAGGUCGUAUUGAUUGGUUGAAAGGCCUGAAAGAGAACGUUGUUCUGGGGGGGAUUAUACCUGUUGGUACCGGAUUCCAAAAAUUUGUGCACCGUUCAAGGCAAGACAAAAACAUUUAUUUGGAAAUCAAAAGAAAAAAUCUAUUCGAGUUGGAAAUGAGAGAUAUUUUGUUACACCAUAGAGAAUUAUUUUGUUCUUGCGCGACAAACAAUUUCCAUGAGACAAAUUUACAUGAGACAUCAGAACAAUCAUUUAUGCGAUUUAAUGAUUCCUAAGAGCGGAUUCAUUUUAACUUUAACUAUCUUUUAACUAUACUGGUCUGAUUAUUGAUUUAGUAAUAAAUAAAAUAAGUAAUUAAAAAAAUUUAUGUGCCGUGUAUCGAUGGUCAAUCCCCGGUAGAAGGUUCCAUCGGAACAAUUAUUUAUUUCAAGGUACCUCGUCUCUUUGUUAAUAAUAAGAAAAAGAAAAAACAAAAAGGAAGUGUGGGAAAAAAUGACAAGAAGAUAUUGGAACAUCAAUUUGGAAGAGAUGAUGGAAGCAGGAGUUCAUUUUGGUCAUGGUACUAAGAAAUGGAAUCCUAGAAUGGCCCCUUACAUCUCUGCAAAGCGUAAAGGUAUUCAUAUUACAAAUCUCGCUAGAACUGCUCGUUUUUUAUCAGAAGCCUGUGAUUUAGUUUUUGAUGCAUCAAGUAGGGGAAAAAGCUUCUUAAUCGUCGGUACCAAAAAUAAAGCAUCGGAUUCAGUAGCAUCAGCUGCAAUAAGGGCUCGGUCUCAUUUUAUUAAUCAAAAAUGGCUCGGUGGUACGUUAACGAAUUGGUCCACUACGGAAACGAGACUUUAUAAGUUCAGGGACUUAAGAGCAGAAGAAAAGAUGGGGAAACUCAACCGUCUCCCCAAAAGAGAUGCAGCAAUGUUGAAGAGAAAAUUAUCUACCUUGCAAACAUAUCUCGGUGGGAUCAAAUAUAUGACGGGAUUGCCUGAUAUUGUGAUCAUCGUUGAUCAGCAAGAAGAAUAUACGGCUCUUCGAGAAUGUGCCAUUUUGGGGAUUCCGACGAUUUGUUUAAUCGAUACAAAUUGUGACCCAGAUCUUGCAGAUAUUUCGAUUCCGGCCAACGAUGACGCUAUAGCUUCAAUUCGAUUGAUUCUUAACAAAUUAGUAUCCGCAAUUUGUGAGGGUCGUUCUAGCUAUAUAAGAAAUCGUUGAUUAUGAUUAAGAUUAAGAAUAAUAAGAUUAGUUAAUGUUAAUUAUUGGGCAACUCCAUAGAUUUAUUGGAUCGGUUACUUUUUUAUCUAUUUUGCAUUUAACAAAAUAGAUAAAAAAAAAAGAACUGGGGAUAUUGAUAUAUAUUAUGAUGUUAUGUGAUUUCUUGGUAUCCUAAAUAUAUGAUUAAUGAUUCAAGUUGGUGAGUUGAGAAAGAAAUGGUUGAAUCAAACUAAUUCCUUUUUUGAAGUUCAAUUUCUAUCAGAGGACAAUAUGAAUGUUAUACCAUGUUACAUUAAAACACUCAAGGGGUUAUAUGAUAUAUCGGGUGUAGAAGUAGGCCAACAUUUCUAUUGGCAAAUAGGAGGUUUACAAAUCCAUGCCCAAGUACUUAUCACUUCUUGGGUCGUAAUUGCUAUCUUGUUAGGUUCAGUCAUCAUAGCUGUUCGGAAUCCACAAACCAUUCCGACCGACGGUCAGAAUUUCUUUGAAUAUGUCCUUGAAUUUAUUCGAGACUUGAGCAAAACCCAGAUUGGAGAAGAAUAUGGACCUUGGGUUCCCUUUAUUGGAACUAUGUUCCUAUUUAUUUUUGUUUCUAAUUGGUCAGGUGCUCUUUUACCUUGGAAAAUCAUACAGUUACCUCAUGGGGAGUUAGCUGCGCCCACGAAUGAUAUAAAUACUACUGUUGCUUUAGCUUUACCCACGUCAGUGGCAUAUUUUUAUGCGGGUCUUACCAAAAAAGGAUUGGGUUAUUUCGAGAAAUACAUCAAACCAACUCCAAUACUUUUACCAAUUAACAUCCUAGAAGAUUUCACAAAACCUUUAUCUCUUAGCUUUCGACUAUUCGGGAAUAUAUUGGCUGAUGAAUUAGUAGUUGUUGUUCUUGUUUCUUUAGUCCCUUCAGUAGUUCCUAUACCUGUCAUGUUUCUUGGAUUAUUUACAAGUGGUAUUCAAGCUCUUAUUUUUGCAACGUUGGCCGCGGCUUAUAUAGGCGAAUCCAUGGAGGGUCAUCAUUGACUAGUUUUCGAAAUAGUCUUUUUUUUUAGCUUAUCCCAAUUCAUGCAUGGUUCAAGAUAAUCUGCUUGGUUGGAGAACAUAAUAGAUAUAAAUACGUAUGAAGAUAUGACCUAGAGUCGUAGGAGAGAAGAUGAACGAUAUUACGGAAUUGUAAAAAAAAAAAAUGGGUUGGGGAGGUCACACUAGAUGUAUGUAAUGUCUAUAAGUCCAGCCACUUUUUGUGUGGGUUUCAAGGAAUGAUUCUAUAAUCCGAUUCAAUAUAAAAUGCGGCCAGUUUACGUUAUGGAAGAAAGAAAUGUAUAUGUAAUAUGUAUAUGCAAUAUUAGAUAUUCACUAGUUAUAUAGUCCUAUCUAUAUAUAAAUAUAAGUCCUUAUACCCUACCUUAUACCCUACCUAUAUACUAACUAACUAUAUAUAUCUAACUAUAUGCUAUACAUAUAUAAUAUAUAUAUAUAGUUAGUUAUAGCAAAAUAAAAAAUAUAUAUAUAUGUAUUGAUAUACAUAUUGAUAUCGUUAUAUUGAUAUAUUGAUAUCGUUGAUAUCGAUCAUAUUGAUAUCCAUUGCAUAUAUUGAUGAUUGCAUAUAUUGAUUUGAUUGCAGUUUACUGCAUUUAGAUUAGAUGGAUUACAAGAUAAGUCAAGUCCUUUCUUCUGUUUCAUUUGUGAUUGUGGAUUGGAUGAAAAAACAGAUGAACUCAAGGAUAUAGAAGAGUAAAGAACGAAGGAUUGAAUGAAAGAAUGGUUGGAAAGAAAGAAAUGCAAUAACUAGAACCGUAUGUAUAUGGAUUUACAAAAACUUCAUCAUGGGUAGAAACUAAAAACGAGAUAUCGAAGUAGUUCUGACGAGUCAGUAAUAUUAUCAUUAGUUUUUAGUUACUUCGACCCAAUAGAUCUUAAUGAUCAAACUUAAUGAUAAAAUUAAGUAAUAAUUCAUUGGUCGAUUGUAUCAUUAACCAUUUCUUUUUCUUUUUUUUGGUGCGAGGAACUUACCAUGAAUCCACUGAUUUCUGCCGCUUCCGUUAUUGCUGCUGGAUUGGCUGUAGGACUUGCUUCUAUUGGACCUGGAGUUGGUCAAGGUACUGCUGCAGGCCAAGCUGUAGAGGGUAUUGCGAGACAACCAGAAGCAGAGGGUAAAAUACGAGGUACUUUAUUGCUUAGUCUAGCUUUUAUGGAAGCUUUAACAAUUUACGGACUGGUUGUGGCAUUAGCGCUUUUAUUUGCGAAUCCUUUUGUUUAAUCCUAGAAAUGUAAAAAAGUACCUUAGAUUACAUACUCUUUUUACUUUUUUUCUUAUUUUAUUAACUUGAAAUUAAAUUGCCGUUUCCUUCUUCGAAUUAUAUCAACACUUUACUCCUAUAAUUACUUAUUUGUUGAGACUCCAGGAAGGACUGCUUUGAGGAUGAGGAAUUACCAGAUCACUCGCUUUCUUCCUUCCCGUCCUUAGCUUAGUACAAUGGAAACUUUUUUCCUUUUAGGAAACGUUUCCACAAACGAUAUAUUUCGCAAUUGAAAUGAGACCUAAGACCUAACCUAAAUGAAAUUACUAGAUUUAAUCUAUUCCCAUUAAAAAGGGGGAAAUUCAAUUAAAAAUAAAUAAAUUGAUCAAAAAAGAAAGGGGCGAGCGAAGUGAUAGAAAAAGAACUUUGUUCUUUGUCAGUCCUAUCUAUAAGAGGAGAGCAUAUGAAAAAUGUAACCGAUUCUUUCGUUUUCUCACGCCACUGGCCAUCCGCCGGGAGUUUCGGGUUUAAUACCGAUAUUUUAGCAACAAAUCCAAUAAAUCUAAGUGUAGUGAUUGGUGUAUUGAUUUUUUUUGGAAAGGGAGUGUGUGCGGGUUGUGUAUUUCAAGAAUAGGUUGGAUCCAUCCGGCUGCACUUUACUUUAUUUAUAGUUAUUUAUAGUUAUAGUAUAUUUAGGAUAAAUAGGAAAAAAGGUGCACGAUCUCGACGAAUUACUUCUGAAUAAAUUCAAAAAUCAUAUGUAAGAACCAUAGCAUUUCGUGACUUAUUGGUAAAUCAACUUUGAUUCUCUAUCAACCAAUAAUGUGAGACCAUUAACAUGGUUAAAGCUAAACUGUUUGAAGUCCAGGCAAAACAUGGUACUCUUUCUACGACUACAUUAGUACUGAAAUGUUUUCCAAAUGAAUAGUUGGUAAUUUAUCUGAUAUAGAACACUCAUAUCGAUAAAAGGAUUUGAACCAUUUACUAGAAAGAAAAGGGCACUCUGCCUUUUUUAUCCAAUGCCGAAUCGACGACCUAUGUAUAAAAAAAGAGGAAUUUUUGGAUUUGAAGAAAAAAAGAAAAAAUCUAAUUCCAAAUUAGAAAUUUUUUAAAUUUAUUUAAUUAAAUAAAAAGAAAAUUUAAUUAAAUUAAGAACAAAUACAAAUAAAGAAACAACUUUGCUGACAAUUANAAUUAUAUUCAUGAUAUUUUUUAUUGUUGAUUUUGCAUUGUCGGUUUAUGUAUUGAUGCGUAAAGGUGGUAUAAUGAUGCAGCAAGUAAACCUCAUUUUAUUUUCAAAUAUAAUUUUCUUUUAUUUUGCAGGUUCGUGUUUGAUUCGGACUUAACUUAUUUUGUUUUAGUUGAUUUAGCUAAUCCAAAUCCUUUUCUCCAAUAAACAAAGAAACUAUCCCAAAAAAGACCUUUGGAAUUUCCAAAAUUGCUUCGUCUUCUAUGCACCUUGGGUGAUCAUAUUGUAUUGAAAAUGAGAGGACAUUAAUUUAUUAUAGGAGGGCUCUCAACACUAUAAUUACUUGGUUCUUGAAGCCCUAAGGGAUAUUAUUUUUGAUGAAUAGAAAAUUAUACUCUUACUCUUUAUCCUUGGUAUUCUACUUCCUGAUGAGAUCAUCAACGCUUCUUCCUCACGUUGAGAUCGUCUUCUUCCUCAGCUUGAUCGUUGUUGCUUUUUCCUCGUGACAAGAUCGGCUUCUACUUCUACCCCUCCUCUUCUUCCGAGUCACUAGCUCACCUUCUUGUUCCCCGUUGCCGAAGUUCUACCCAUGGUGUACCGCCUUCCUUGUCGAUCGUGGAUCCCCUGCAAUCGUGUGAACGACGCACUUUUUGUAUCUCUCAUCUCUUGAUAUCCUAUUAUCCCCUUUCAAUCUAGCCUUCCACCAUUAAUAACCAUAUUUGCCAAAUAACCAAAUCUAAAAGCUUUAAGUUACGAUAAAACCGAAUUUACCUUUUGGAACUAUUAUAUGUAUUUUUAGUUGGUUGUUAUUAUCUCAUAUAUUGAUGGUUUAUCAUCAUCUUAGUAUUGCUUCAAUUUGAUUUUAAUUUUUGUCUUGCUAAAAUUUUUGCUUCCUUGCUUUAAUUAUAGUAAAUUUCAUCGGAAUCGAUAAAUUGAACCUAGUUUAUUUCAAGAAAUACCUUUAAACAAAAAGCAAACUUGAAAAUUCAAUUUUGGCAACCUCUCGGUCCGCAUCAUAUAACCUGUGUAUUAUGGAGGAUUUUUUUUUCCUAUCAGGGAAAGUUUGAGAGACUGUUAGGUCUAUGUUUUGAAAAUUUAGUUGCUUUGGGAAAUCAAUAGUUGUAUAUAAUCUUCUCAAAUUCUUCAUUUGCUAAGCAUUAUAACCAUUGGUGUCUGUCAUGAGCAUAAUGUAAGUAGUAUGUUCAGCAAUGUUUUAAGCUGCCGCUACGCCUGCCAUAGUGGCUGCUAUAGCAUAAUUACUACGCUACCACUACGCCACGAUAUUAAAAGUGGGAUUUAGUGGAGUUGGUUCGUAGUGGCCACUUUAGCGGCAUUAGGCUUGCUAAAGUGGGUGCUAUAAAGUGGGGUUGAAGCGACUGUUAUGUGCUCAAAAUCUGGAAAAUUGCAAACGGGUCAAAUUACCUUACUGGUCGGAUUUCUAAGUUAAUUAAAAUGACUAAAAACCUAUAAAUGGAUUAUAGAUUUUCUAGUUUAUUGUCUUUUUGGCUUGUUAAAUCACAAUAUUUUGAAGGUAGUUGUACAUAUAGUGAUAGUAAAUAUAUAUAGGCUUGCAAUACUAGAAAAAGGUAAUGGUUAGUUGU
rnacentral:lncRNA from 1 species